rnacentral:rRNA from 1 species
UAGGGAAUCUUCCGCAAUGGACGCAAGUCUGACGGAGCAACGCCGCGUGAGUGAAGAAGGAUUUCGGUUCGUAAAACUCUGUUGUUAGAGAAGAACAGCGCAUAGAGUAACUGUUAUGCGUGUGACGGUAUCUAACCAGAAAGCCACGGCUAACUACGUGCCAGCAGCCGCGGUAAUACGUAGGUGGCAAGCGUUGUCCGGAUUUAUUGGGCGUAAAGCGAGCGCAGGCGGUUAGAUAAGUCUGAAGUUAAAGGCAGUGGCUCAACCAUUGUAGGCUUUGGUAACUGUUUAACUUGAGUGCAGAAGGGGGGAGUGGAAUUCCAUGUGUAGCGGUGAAAUGCGUAGAUAUAUGGAGGAACACCGGUUGCGAAAGCGGCUCUCUGGUCUGUAACUCACGCUGAGGCUCGAAAGCGUGGGGAGCGAACAGG